UCCCUCUUAGCUCAGUUGGUAGAGCGCGUCACUAGUAGUCGCUAUGACGAGGUCAGUCGUUCAAGUCGGCUAGAGGGAA